rnacentral:tRNA from 1 species
GGGCCGUUGGUAUAGCUGGUAUUACGCCGCCCUCGCACGGCGGAGGCCUCGGGUUCAAAUCCCGAACGGUCCACCA